UACGUAGGGUGCAAGCGUUAAUCGGAAUUACUGGGCGUAAAGCGCGCGUAGGCGGCUUGACAAGUCGAGUGUGAAAUCCCCGGGCUUAACCUGGGAGCUGCAUUCGAAACUGUCGAGCUAGAGUAUGGUAGAGGGUGGUGGAAUUUCCUGUGUAGCGGUGAAAUGCGUAGAUAUCGGGAGGAACACCUGAGGCGAAGGCGGGCUACUGGGCCGAUACUGACGCUGAUGCGCGAAAGCCAGGGGAGCGAACGGG
rnacentral:rRNA from 1 species